AACGCGUGGGUAAUCUACCUCUGAAUCGGGGAUAACCCGCCGAAAGGCGAGCUAAUACCGGAUAAUAUCUUUAAAACUUAGGUGUUUAAGAUUAAAGGUGGUCUCUACAUGUAAGCUACUGUUUGGAGAUGAGCCCGCGUACCAUUAGCUUGUUGGUAGGGUAAUGGCCUACCAAGGCCGCGAUGGUUAGCUGGUCUGAGAGGAUGAUCAGCCACACUGGAACUGACACACGGUCCAG
rnacentral:rRNA from 1 species